CUUGGUCAUUUAGAGGAAGUAAAAGUCGUAACAAGGUUUCCGUAGGUGAACCUGCGGAAGGAUCAUUACAGAAAGUAAACGCGGAUCAAACCGCGAACUUCUAAACCUUUGACGAUUGACUCAUGUUGCCUCGGCGGGUUCUCCCGCCAGAGGAUACAUCAAAACUCCUGUUUUAACGGUGUUGUCUGAGCUACAAGCAACGAAUCAAAACUUUCAACAACGGAUCUCUUGGUUCUGGCAUCGAUGAAGAACGCAGCGAAAUGCGAUAAGUAGUGUGAAUUGCAGAAUUCAGUGAAUCAUCGAAUCUUUGAACGCACAUUGCGCCCCUUGGUAUCCCGAGGGGCAUGCCUGUUCGAGCGUCAUUUCACCACUCAAGCCUGGCUUGGUGUUGGGCGACGUCCCCUUUAGGGACGCGCCUCGAAACGCUCGGCGGCGUGGCACCGGCUUUAAGCGUAGCAGAAUCUUUCGCUUUGAAAGUCGGGGCCCCGUCUGCCGGAAGACCUACUCGCAAGGUUGACCUCGGAUCAGGCAGGGAUACCCGCUGAACUUAAGCAUAUCAAUAAGCGGAGGA
rnacentral:rRNA from 1 species